GGUGCUAAAUAGCUGUUCACCUUCCUUACACUGGAAAGCGGUGUAAUGAUUAACCGACCCAACCUGUCGAGAAUAUUUCCGGAAAUCUUUUAAGAGAGGUUACGUUUAUUGAUUUCUGAGUAUUAGGCAAUGUUCCAAAAGCUUUUAAAAUCCUAGUAGCAACCCUAUGAAAUCGGAAAUUACCCUCGUUUUACAACUGUGUCUCCUUCCUUUUAUGAUUUUGUGAGUAAAGAAUUUUAAUUUGCCAGCCAGGCACGGUGGCUCAGUCCUGUAAUCCCAGCACUUUGGAGGCCAAGGCCGGCAGAUCACCUGAGGUUGGGAGUUCGAGACCAGCCUAGCCAACAUGGAGAAACCCUGUCUCUACUAAAAAUACAAAAUUAGCUGGGCAUGGUGACACAUACCUAUAAUCCCAGCUACUCGGAGGGCUGAGGCCGAAGAAUCAGUUGAACCUGGGAGUUGGAAGUUGCAGGUUUCUGAUAACUUUGGAGAUUGUGACAUUAGAAUGGAGGAAAAGCUUCCAGAACUCACAUGGAGGGCUAAAAUGUUCAUGAAUAUCGAGCAGAACAGGAGCUAACUGCAUGGACUGAACUAAUAGAAAACUAAGGUAAUCUUUUUUGGCUUUUUGCUUAAAACAUUAUCGAUACUUUU
rnacentral:lncRNA from 1 species